CGACCUCACAUCAGGCGAGACAACCCGCUGAAUUUAAGCAUAUCACUAAGCGGAGGAAAAGAAACCAACAGGGAUUCCCUUAGUAGCGGCGAGCGAAACGGGACCUAGCCCAGCACCGAAUCCCUCGUCCUUGCCGGCAAUCGGGAAAUGUGGUGUAUGGGAGGUAACGUUCCCGAGAGUUUUGCGGUGGUGCAAGUCCCCCUGACAGGGGCUUGACCCAGAGUGGGUGCCAGGCCCGUCUCCGCCACUGCUCUCUCGGGAUGGAACCUCCCGUGAGUCGGGUUGCUUGAGAGUGCAGCCCUAAUUGGGUGGUAAACUCCAUCUAAGGCUAAAUACGUCCGAGAGACCGAUAGUUCACAAGUACCGUGAGGGAAAGUUGAAAAGAACUUUGAAGAGAGAGUUCAAGAGUACGUGAAACCGCUUAGAGUAAAACGGGUGGGCCCUCGAAGCUCGAGGGCGGUGGGAUUCAGUUUCGCUGUGACGUGGAGCGGUGUCAGCGUCUUGGUUUACGGGCUCUCCUUGUCGGGGGGGCCCGUUCCGGCUGCCCGCGCGGUGCCGCGCACUCCGGAACGCAUUUUCCACCGUCGGUAGGACGCCACGACGGGCACGGGUAACCCUUUCAAGAACGACUUCGAGUCCGGCCGCUGGAGGUGACCGGCGACGGCCCUUGUUUGGCUGUCGUGGGAGUUAUACCUGGCCGGUAAUCGAGUACGUCACCCUGCCCAGACCUCAUGGGCUACUCCCUUCGGGGAGGCCCGAAACGAUGCCCUCCGGAAUGCGGAGCGGGAAACCCGGCUGGGUCAACGGGUCGCCUGCCUUACGCCAGGUAUUCGCCUGACGUUCGGUGUUUGGGGCUCGGAACCGGCGAGGCGGGUUCUUUCCGCGGAGGGUCGUCGUGGUUGGCGGCGAGUAGGUCGGUAACCCACCCGACCCGUCUUGAAACACGGACCAAGGAGUCUAACAUGUGCGCGAGUCAAUGGGUCCCUCAAAACCCAGAGGCGGAAUGAAACGUGAAGGCGCGGCCUCGUGCCGUGCCGAGUUGCGAUCCCGGGCCGCCCAGGGGUCCGAUGAAGGGAGCAGCAACGGCCCGCCCCACACGCUCACGUCGUGGGGGCGGCGCUAGAGCGCACACGUUGGCACCCGAAAGAUGGUGAACAAUGCCCGGGCAGGACGAGGCCAGAGGGAACUCUGGUGGAGGUCCGAAGCGCUUCUGACGUGCAAAUCGAUCGUCCGACCCAGGUAUAGGGGCGAAAGACUAAUCGAACCAUCUAGUAGCUGGUUCCCUCCGAAGUUUCCCUCAGGAUAGCUGGCGCUUGUUGCCGAGACCAGUCACACCUGGUAAAGCGAAUGAUUAGAGGCAUUGGGGUCGAAACGACCUCAACCUAUUCUCAAACUUUCAAUGGGUGUGUCGGAGGCCUUCUGGUCUGAGGCCUCCGGAAGCGAUGAGAGUGCCAAGUGGGCGACUUUUGGUAAGCAGAACUGGCACUGUGGGAUGAACCAAACGCCGGGGUAAGGCGCCCGAUGCGGGACGCUCAUGAGAUCCCAUGAAGGGUGUUGGUUGCUUAAGACAGCAGGACGGUGGCCAUGGAAGUCGGAACCCGCUAAGGAGUGUGUAACAACUCACCUGCCCAAGCAACUAGCCCCGAAAAUGGAUGGCGCUCUAGUGUCGAGCCUAUCCCCGGCCGCUGCCGGCAGAUGCACGCAAACAAGGGGGUGCUAAGCUGCAGCGAGUAGGAGGGCCGCUGCGGUGAGCGUUGAAGGUGUCGGGCGUAAGCCCGCCUGGAGCCGCCGCUGGUGCAGAUCUUGGUGGUAGUAGCAAAUACUCAAGUGAGAACCUUGAGGACUGAAGUGGAGAAGGGUUCCAUGUGAACAGCAGUUGAACAUGGGUCAGUCGGUCCUAAGGGAAAGGAGAAGUUCUUUCCGAAGCGGGAGCACUUUUUUGCAGUGGAGAGAGCCCCGCAGUGACCGAAAGGGAAUCGGGUUAAUAAUCCCGAACCCGGACACGGAGAUUGGUCCUUCGGGGCCCAGUGCGGUAACGCAAACCAGCUCGGAGACGCCGAUGCGAGCCCCGGGAAGAGUUUUCUUUUCUCUGUAAGGAGAUCGAGUCCCUGGAAUGGUUUCGCCCCGAGAUAGGGAUGGUGGCUCCGUAGAGCAGUGCGGUUCUUGCGCUGUCCGGUGCGCUCGCGUCGGCCCUUGAAAAUCCGAGUGAGGGAGUGUGAUUUUCGUGCCGGACCGUACCCACAUCCGCAGCAGGUCUCCAAGGUGAACAGCCUCUAGUCGAUGGACCAAUGUAGGUAAGGGAAGUCGGCAAAACGGAUCCGUAACCUUGGGAUAAGGAUUGGCUCUGAGGACUGAGCCGGUCGGGCUGGGGACCUGAAGCAGGAACGGCACUGCACCGGGACUGGGCGGGGCUCGCCGUUGACGCGGCGCGGCCAAGCCCGGACCAGCGUCGGGACCUUCCUGUGGAAAGCCUCAGCUGCGCGGCGUCUGAGGGCUUCGU
rnacentral:rRNA from 1 species